CUACUGUGGAUGUAUCACGCUUCUGCGAAUCCUCAGAUGUCUACACGAUCAGACCUGAGCCUCUCUUAAAGACGCCGCGUGAACCUUGGGAGGUCAAAAUGGCCCUGCCACCACAAAAACACCUCCAUCAUGUUCUUACGCUGUCUCAACCAUCAAGUUUGGCUUCAAGAUAGACAUAACAAGCGCUACCACUGGAACCUACGACAUAAACAUCAAAGAAGAGGCCCAUCCUGAGACCGAAGUGACACGCUCUGUGGUCCACUCCAACCAAACCUCAUCACAUAAGAUCAAACACCUGAAGCCCUGUACUGAAUACAAACAUGCUGUGGAAUUUAAUGACAGUGCUGGCAACAUAACGCUCUGUAGCUACACUGGAAAUAAAACUUCUGAACUCACAACUCAAAUGGAAAUGAAAGACAUUGAAGACGGUAGCUGCAUCCCAGGAUAUGUUUGUUACAGGAGUGAUUGGAACAUUGGCUCUUCAAUGUCAGCAUCCAAUAAUGUUGCAGCAGAGCCAUGCCGCACUAACUCUACAGAGUUUUGUAUCAAACCUGGUAUCGAUGACAUUUGCCCAAACUUGACCACAACCUUCACUUCAGCAAUGUGUAUGGACUCUUCCUUCGAAAAGAUCAAACGCAACGUUGAUUAUUUGAAUGUAAGUGGAUUACAACCGGAAAUACCAACUGAACUUCCUAUAAAUAAAAUACAAACAAAAUUACCUCAAAACUGCAGCAAUCUCAACAUUGUACACACGUGUCUGGAUAUUGAUGAAUUCAGUAAGCCCAUUAAGCCAUUGACUGAGCUGGAGCCCUUCACAAACUACAGCUGUAUGGGUCAGAUCAAGGAAAACAAUGUUACCAUAAAGAACACAACUGCUAUCAAGUUCAACAUUGACUGUGAUCUUACAACUACAUUCACAACGCCGUUUGUGACCGACACUUCUGUUAAGUUGAGUUGGACUACAACCAAUCAGAAAUGUAAAGAUGUCUUAACCAAGUCUACAAAGUUGUCUUUUAUCUGCAGUUGUGUCCAUCCUCAUUCCAAACAUAUACGCAGUAAACGUUCACGCGGAGGAUCAUGUUUAAUUGAUGAACUGGAACCGUAUACCAACUAUAAAUGUGGUGUUGAACCCCGCUACAAGAAAAAGUUUUUGUCAAAAUAACGUCACCUGUUGAGACUCUCGUUGGCAUACCAGCUGAUAUCUCUACAUCGUCGGUGACUCUACUAGGGCAUAAUGAGAUAAAAGUAACCUGCACUCUUCUAGGAAGAUUUUAUGGACCUGGAGGGUAUUACAUUGCACGUCUUCGUUAUAACGGUGACAUUGUGAUGACCCAAAAAAACACAAAAGAAUGUCUUUUUACAUUCAAAGAUCUGAGCUACUCUACAACAUACAUCCUGGAGGUGGCUGCUGGCAAUAAAGAAUUUGAGGGAAAUCUGAAGACCAAAGAAGUUAUCACUCAAUACAACGACAUUGCUGUCAUUGUUGUGAUCAUCUGUGUGAUUGUUCUGGUCGUCGUCGCCGUCGUCAGCAUGGCCUAUGUCCUUUGUAGGAGAAGAUCCCAAAAUGAUGUGAACAAAGAUGUGAUGCUUGAAUUAAAUCCAAUUUAUGAAAAUGUUCCUAGAUCUUAAUGCCAUCAUCAAGACGCACUGAUGAAUAAAGGCCGGAUGGAAGGGAUCACCAACCGAAUCACCAAAUUCACAUUUCUGCACGUUUCUGUUUACACUGACUCGUAAACUGCUUGAAUAGGAUUUGCAUUUUUCAUGAUAGCUCUCUCAUAUCCUGCCACUCCGUUUUCCUUACUUUGAUUAUACUGUAUGUACUUAUAUCUGAAGUUUAAAUGAGUCCUUUGUGACAGUUGAAACAUGCUAUAGAUGACACGAGAUGAGGCACACCUUUGUCAAAAGGUGUCUGAAUAUUUUGCAGUCCUCUCCUCAUCUGUGAUAACCAAAGCAAGCUUUUAAACUGUUGCUAUUUAGAAUGGAUUGCACAUUAUUAUACCCUUUUUUUCUUUUCUUGUAAUCAUUUUAGAUUGUCCAAACUAUAUUUCUGGACCUGUUAUUCAUGUAUUCAAAGAUGUAAUAAUUGUAGAAAGAAACAAGUGAAAACUGCAGCUUUUACGUCCUGUUGAGACAAAGAUGUAAUGAAGAGGCAACUUCUGCAACCUGCAGGCGAUGAAUAGGACGGGUUGAGUUUUCAUCUCUUUAAUUGUAUUCAUUCAUUUUUUAUACAUCUUUUCUUUAUGGAUUGUUUGAGAUGAGAUUUAAAGGAAGAAUAUGCAAUUUUUCACACUUAAAUGUAGCAGAAAUCAAAAUAUGCCCUGAAAAUUUUUCUGUGAGUCAUGACUGUCUGCAAUGAGUGUGACACCCGAGUCCGCUGUGAUGUUGUCCUAGCCGUAUCUACAGCGUGUUUACAUGGACGGGACGGCCGGUUGGUUCAUCCCCUUAUGUAUAAAAGUUGUUUAAUUGAGGGACCAG